CCUACGGGAGGCUGCAGUGGGGAAUAUUGGACAAUGGGGGCAACCCUGAUCCAGCCAUGCCGCGUGUGUGAAGAAGGCCCUCGGGUUGUAAAGCACUUUCAGUGAGGAAGAACGCCUGGUGGUUAAUACCCAUCAGGAAAGACAUCACUCACAGAAGAAGCACCGGCUAACUCCGUGCCAGCAGCCGCGGUAAUACGGAGGGUGCGAGCGUUAAUCGGAAUUACUGGGCGUAAAGCGCGCGUAGGUGGCUUGAUAAGCCGGUUGUGAAAGCCCCGGGCUCAACCUGGGAACGGCAUCCGGAACUGUCAAGCUAGAGUGCAGGAGAGGAAGGUAGAAUUCCCGGUGUAGCGGUGAAAUGCGUAGAGAUCGGGAGGAAUACCAGUGGCGAAGGCGACCUUCUGGACUGACACUGACACUGAGGUGCGAAAGCGUGGGUAGCAAACAGGAUUAGAUACCCGGGUAGUC
rnacentral:rRNA from 1 species